rnacentral:snRNA from 1 species
AUUGCUUCUCGACCUUUUGGCUAAGAUCAAGUGUAGUAUCUGUUCAUACCAGUUUAAAAAAUAAGUUCUAAGGACUAGUUAAGUUCUGGUGGAACAGAGGGUCAGGCUUGCUAAUCGAA